rfam:Bacillus sp. VT-16-64 NODE_102, whole genome shotgun sequence.
AAACCCUUACAGAGAUGUAAGACUGGAGUGUGAGAAGUCAGCAGAAGUCGUAGUAGUGAAGACAUCUAAUGAAAGUUAGAAAGAGCGAAGGAC